AAAAAAAAGAAGAAGAAGAAGACAAGAUGUACCUGCUGGUUGGCAGCUGGCAUAUACUAAUUGAAGAGUAAAGAGCUUUCUUUUUCUUGUUUGGCAGCUGUCAUGUACUAAGGUAGAGUAAUGGGCAGAUAUUUAACUGGGCUGGGCUGGUGGUUUUGAUGGGUUAAUGAUUUAAAUAAAUGGGCUGCCGGUUAUUAGUGUUUUUCUAUGUAUUUUUAAUUCUAUUUUUUCAUAAAUUAAAUAUGAAAUAUAAAUUAUUUUUAUAUUGAAUACAUAAUUACUCUUAAUAAGUUUAUAGAAUUUAAUUUAAAUAGUUUUAAGUUAUUUAGUAAGAUAUUAUUAAUUAAAUAUAUAGUAAAAUUAAAAUUAUAGGGCAAUAGAAAAUUAAAAUUAUCAU
rnacentral:misc_RNA from 1 species